GCGGUUUUAGUUCAGUGGUAGAAUGCGAGAUUCCCAAUCUCGAAAUGCGGGUCCGAUUCCCGCAAACCGCA
rnacentral:tRNA from 1 species